AGAAGAUAAUCACGUUUAUAUUGUGAAAUCAACAUAUAAUAUUGCCCAAAAUGGAGAUAUAAGGUAGGAAAGUGCAUUGUUUGGCCUAUUUUUGAAAAUUAAAGCUUUGCCUAGCCCAAUGUUUUGCACGGAGAGAAUUAAUAAAGUGACAAUGUUGGGGUACUUUUGAGCUUGUAAAAGCAGGGGAAACAUUGCAAUGUUCUUAGCUGGGAUUUUAUAGAAUACAGUUAAAUGAGGUGUGGGUUUAUUGUUAGGCUUCAAUGUCAUAUCUAUUAUGCUGAAAAUGUAAGGACCGAGCGUACUUUUGCAUUUAAAAAAAAAAAAAGAAGAAGAAAGUGGUAGGGAAGGGGGGCACAUUUCUAAAUGGUAGGGAAGUGGACGGCUGCACGUUUCUGGAAUUGGGAAAGUGGGCGGUUGCACAUUGAGAAUGAAGUGGCUUCCCAUUCAGCAAAGAAGUGGGCAGCAGCAGAUGGUGGUGGGUCUCUCCACCUGGAAGUGCUCCAGCCACCAGGGAACCUUCAUCAUCAACUCUUCAAAGUGGGCACAACACUAAGAAGGGAAGGGAGAAGUUGAGAAGUGCAGAGUUUCUUCUUCUUAAAGGGAAGAGUUGGUAGAUUCAAGGAGCUUUUGGGAGGGGCUUUACAGAUUGGAAGAGUUGCUGCCAUAUCCGUGAGAGGGUGAAGUUGGGAGCUCCUGAAGUGCAAGGAGGCCUUGGAUUGCAAGUCCUGGGGAGAUUGAUUCAAGAGGAGUGUUCGGUGCUGCAGCUGGAGGAGUGAAAGGCUUGCUGCAGAUCUGGGAGAGGAGAAGUGGAGAACUUUUAGAGUUGGAAGGAGAUCCACACACUGCAUUUCAAGAUUCAAGGAAGUCUUCAAGAGGAAUAUAUAAUUGGACAAUGCUAAGACCUCCCAACACUCUUAAAAAAUACGUUUUGGAGGAAGCACAUAAUGGAAGGAAGCCACCAAGUUCCAAGUGCAGCUGCAACAAGGGAAUUUCAUUCUUAAGAAGUAGAAAACUACGAUUAUGGUCAUGUUCCAAGCUAGGACCCAUUGGAAAAUUUAUUUUUGAAAAACCAUCUACGUUUCAACCAAGUGCAGCCCACGGUUUUCUUAAAUCAUGUUGGAAGAUAGUUGAUAGUUUGUUACAUGCCACACGAAAAUGCAGCAAAACAUCUUUUUGAAUGUGGGAGCCGCCACACAUUUUGCAAUAAAAGAGGGACCACUUUGUAGAAAAACACACGGCCCUCUUCUUAUUUUCUUUGAAGGAAAUUAUACAACACAUGGGGCCACUACUUGUGUCUAAUGUGUUGAAUUUUAUUUAAUUGACAUUAUGAAGGAAAGUGGUGUCUUUGCGGAGAAUUAAUCUUUGGAAAUCUAAGUUAUUUUGAGCUGGAACGUUGUUGCCAAUUUAAGUGGGAAAUGACUCAUUACACCUUUAAAGAAGCUCUCAAGGUCACACACUUCACGGCAACUUGGAGCAGUCCAGCAAGGAGGAUGGUGACAUGACUGGAGUGUCUUGCAACGUGAUUGAAGAAGGGAGGAAGGCAAGGAGACAACAGCUGAAUUUGAAGAAGAAGUCCAGCCACAUAUCUAGGAGUAUCACGGUGCAGCAAAAAGAAAGAGGAGAUGGAGCUGGACGUGUGAAAGAAGAUGAAAGUGGAGGUUCAUGACCAGUAGUGAUGUCUCGGUCCAGCAACACCACCAACACCAGCAGCUACAACUUGUGGAUGCAAGGAGUUCAUGGCUGCUGGAAUGUGCAUAAGGAGGAAGCUCACGACGUGCUUGAAGAAAAAGGGAGAAGGAGGUGUUGAACAAACCCAGCAGCUACAAACAGACAAGCAAUUUGGAGAGGGUCCCAUCUAUUUUCAUACAUGCAAGGAGUUGGUGAAUAUUGGUUAAUAAGUCACGGGGGAGACAAAACAAAACGGGAAAGCUGAUACAGUUGGAAAGAAGGAGUAGAUUAGGAGGAUGUUCAGAAUUGUUGCUAUAAAAUGGAAGGCAGCAUAGAAGAAAAAGAUCAGACUUGGGAGAAUUUUAGAGGGGAUUAGAUUUAGGAUUAGGAGUAAGUUUAGGAAGCAACUCUCGGUUCCUCCCUUCCAGGGGCUGAGUUUCCAUUUCAUCCAAAAAUGUAGUUUUUAUUUCUGAAGCAUUGUUCAUUUCAUUUUUACUUCUACGGUUCAGAAUUUUAUUUUAAUGUUGAAUUUCGUUUUCAGUCAAA